rnacentral:rRNA from 1 species
AGAGUUUGAUUAUGGCUCAGAUUGAACGCUGGCGGCAGGCCUAACACAUGCAAGUCGAACGGUAACAGGAAACAGCUUGCUGUUUCGCUGACGAGUGGCGGACGGGUGAGUAAUGUCUGGGAAACUGCCUGAUGGAGGGGGAUAACUACUGGAAACGGUAGCUAAUACCGCAUAACGUCGCAAGACCAAAGAGGGGGACCUUCGGGCCUCUUGCCAUCGGAUGUGCCCAGAUGGGAUUAGCUAGUAGGUGGGGUAACGGCUCACCUAGGCGACGAUCCCUAGCUGGUCUGAGAGGAUGACCAGCCACACUGGAACUGAGACACGGUCCAGACUCCUACGGGAGGCAGCAGUGGGGAAUAUUGCACAAUGGGCGCAAGCCUGAUGCAGCCAUGCCGCGUGCAUGAAGAAGGCCUUCGGGUUGUAAAGUACUUUCAGCGGGGAUGAAGGGAGUAAAGUUAAUACCUUUGCUCAUUGACGUUACCCGCAGAAGAAGCACCGGCUAACUCCGUGCCAGCAGCCGCGGUAAU